UCUACGGGAGGCUGCAGUGGGGGAUAUUGCACAAUGGGGGGAACCCUGAUGCAGCGACGCCGCGUGGGUGAAGAAGCGCCUCGGCGCGUAAAGCCCUGUCAGCAGGGAAGAAAAUGACGGUACCUGAAGAAGAAGCCCCGGCUAACUACGUGCCAGCAGCCGCGGUAAUACGUAGGGGGCAAGCGUUAUCCGGAUUGACUGGGUGUAAAGGGAGCGUAGACGGCUUGGCAAGCCAGAUGUGAAAGGCUGGGGCGCAACCCCAGGACUGCAUUUGGAACUGUCAUGCUAGAGUGUCGGAGAGGCAGGCGGAAUUCCUAGUGUAGCGGUGAAAUGCGUAGAUAUUAGGAGGAACACCAGUGGCGAAGGCGGCCUGCUGGACGAUGACUGACGUUGAGGCUCGAAAGCGUGGGGAGCAAACAGGAUUAGAUACCCUUGUAGUC
rnacentral:rRNA from 1 species